rnacentral:rRNA from 1 species
GUCUACGGCCAUGCCACCCUGAACAAGCCCUAUCCCGUCUGAUCUCAGAAGCUAAGCAGGGUCAGGCCUGGUUAGUACUUGGAUGGGAGACCACCUAGGACGACCAGGUGCUGUAGGCA